rnacentral:rRNA from 1 species
AACGUACGCUGGCGGCACGCCUAACACAUGCAAGUCGAACGAAGUAGCAAUACUUAGUGGCAGACGGGUGAGUAACAUGUAGGUAUCUGCCCUUUGGCCUGGAAUAACACGAGGAAACUUGUGCUAAUACCGGAUAAGUCUUUACGGAGAAAGCUUUAUGCACCAUUGGAUGAGCCUGCACUUGAUUAGUUUGUUGGUGGGGUAAUGGCCUACCAAGACUGUGAUCAAUAGCUGAUUUGAGAGGAUGAUCAGCCACAUUGGGACUGAGACACGGCCCAAACUCCUACGGGAGGCAGCAGUGGGGAAUCUUGCACAAUGGAGGAAACUCUGAUGCAGCGAUGCCGCGUGAGUGAAGAAGGCCCUUGGGUUGUAAAGCUCUUUCGUCGGGGAAGAAAAUGACUGUACCCGAAUAAGAAGGUCCGGCUAACUUCGUGCCAGCAGCCGCGGUAAUACGAAGGGACCUAGCGUAGUUCGGAAUUACUGGGCUUAAAGAGUUCGUAGGUGGUUGAAAAAGUUAGUGGUGAAAUCCCAGAGCUUAACUCUGGAACUGCCAUUAAAACUUUUCAGCUAGAGUAUGAUAGAGGAAAGCAGAAUUUCUAGUGUAGAGGUGAAAUUCGUAGAUAUUAGAAAGAAUACCAAUUGCGAAGGCAGCUUUCUGGAUCAUUACUGACACUGAGGAACGAAGGCAUGGGUAGCGAAGAGGAUUAGAUACCCUCGUAGUCCAUGCCGUAAACGAUGUGUGUUAGACGUUGGAAAUUUAUUUUCAGUGUCGCAGGGAAACCGAUAAACACACCGCCUGGGGAGUACGACCGCAAGGUUAAAACUCAAAUGAAUUGACGGGGACCCGCACAAGUAGUGGAGCAUGUGGUUUAAUUCGAAGAUACGCGCAGAACCUUACCAACACUUGACAUGUUCGUCGCGACUCUAAGAGAUUAGAGUUUUCGGUUCGGCCGGACGAAACACAGGUGCUGCAUGGCUGUCGUCAGCUCGUGUCGUGAGAUGUUGGGUUAAGUCCCGCAACGAGCGCAACCCUCACUUUUAGUUGCCAUCAUUAAGUUGGGCACUCUGAAAGAACUGCCAGUGAUAAGCUGGAGGAAGGUGGGGAUGACGUCAAGUCCUCAUGGCCCUUACGUGUUGGGCUACACACGUGCUACAAUGGUAUCUACAACAGGAAGCAAGACUGCGAAGUUAAGCAAAUCCCUAAAAGAUACCUCAGUUCGGAUUGCACUCUGCAACUCGAGUGCAUGAAGCUGGAAUUACUAGUAAUCGUGGAUCAGCGUGCCACGGUGAAUGCGUUCCCGGGUCU